GGGGAUUUAGUUCAGUGGUAGAGCGCUUGCCUAGCAAGCGCAAGGCUCUGGGUUCAGUCCCCA
rnacentral:tRNA from 1 species